CUUCACUCUCCACUCAGAGGCUCAGGGAGCAAGUGCCUGGCGUGGGGGGGAAAAGUUGCCUUUUUUUCUCUCUCUCUCUCUCUCUCCUUGGUCUUUUGCACCCUUCUCUCUCCCCGGAAGGGAAGACCCGUUUAAACUAUUUUAGACGCAAUCAAGCAAGAAUCACCAUGUGGAACUGAGCGCCAGUUUUAAACGUGCUAAAAAGAGGAAUGUUCUGAAAUUUUUUUUUUUUUUUUUUUUUUUUUUUUUUUUUGAGAGACGCCGAAAGGAGCCUGUGUGUGUGCUGCGGCCGCGCGGUGGUGACUCUGGAUCUUGUCUUCUGGCCGGCGCCUCGGUUCCUGCCCAGCUGGAUUUGGGGGGCGACACUGCCUGGCGCGGGAGACCAAAUGAGACCGCAAAGAAACAUAAAUGAAUAGACAAUUCAGCCAACCAAAGACCGGGGGCAGCAGCAGGCCAGCAAGACGGCAUCUUCUCCUCCCCAGCCUAGAAGCCCUGUGAAAUCGAGGAUCUUCCCCCUAAAACACACACACACAAGACAUGUGCAAUCAAGCUGCCACCGCUUGGUAAAAAGCUUAUGGUGCCUAACCCAAAAGGAUCAGGAGCAGAUCCUUGAAUCAGCUGUCACUUCUAUAGAAUGGGAUUUUUUUUUCUUCCUCCUUAACCUGCACUGGAAAUUGCCGCUGGCUUUAUACAUCUCUAUAGAGGGAGGCUAAGGAGUCUUGCGUGAGAAUGAAGCAAUUUACAAUGCAAAUAGAGGCCUGUGAAGGGACGGAUGCUGCUGCACACUCCUAACAGCUUGCUGCACCUUAAUAGCUGGUUUUAUUUUCUGAUAUUAAUAGAUGAAUUGUUGGUUAACGCUGCCGGAGAUUACUUGCUGCAAGGAAAAAAAAAAGUUGGGAAUAAACUCUGAAGCCAAAAGAUCUCGUUUGGAUGUUUUAGCUGCACACACACAGACAGAAACCAGGUCAUAUUUACAUAAAAGGAGGAAUCUUCUGCGCGGCAAGAGUCCUGGACGACCACUCUUCGGUGCUGUCAGGAAGGGUCCAGGAACCUGAAGUCUGCAAGAGGAAGACAGAGGCGUGUGGGAAGCGAGUUGUUAUCUUUGGUUAUCUAGCUGUAUGAGUGUAUUGGUCUUCAUAAAGCUAGAUAACCGAAAGUAAAAACUCCUUCAAGAUCGCCGGGGAGCAUGUGAGAAUGAAAGACUACAGCCAAGAGACAGUAAAAACCAGAAAGGUCAGGAAUACUUAUUGAAUCUAACUUUGUUUUUGUUGUGUGUUUUUUUUGCCUUGUGAUUAAAGGUGGGAUGAGAGGAAAUUGAGUGACAUACGUAUGCUAAUGUAGAAAGGUAGACAGAUAUCUGGAGGGGGGCUGUCACAGUUGCACAGGCGAAUUGUAUAGUGCCCGUGAGUAAAGAUGCAUGUGCAACUUGCUCUGCUUUAAGGCAAAAGUUUAUAUAUGAGGGGCCUUUAUUUUUCUUGGAACGCUGUUGUAGAGAUGUCUGGUACCUAGUUCAAAAAUGAUUCCAUAAUAUGUAGACUUGGGCAGUUCCCUCCAGAGGUCUUCCCCCACCCUCUAGCAUUUGCAGAGUGUGCUUGGAAACAACUUUACAUGUAUUUUGGCUGUAUAUCAAAUGAUAUGAAAUUAGACUUUCAGAAAAGUUUAUACUGGAAGGUUAAUAAUUUAUACCUACCAAGGACUUAGAGCUAGCAGGGAAAAUGAGAAAGGAAAAAAAGGAAAAAAAAAAAAAAAAAAAGCAAAGGCUGAUUUUUAUUCUUCUAUUCAAAAUACAAGGACAGAUGCUUCUCUGUUCCAAGAGGGUUUCCUUGAGGAAGCUACUGAAGCAGAAAGACAUGAUGGAGACGAGAUCGCCUCCCCUCUUGUCAAAGUGUUGAAAAAAUGUUCUGUCUUAUUCUGCGCCUAGCAUUGGAAAUGAAAGUGACAUUUACGCCACAACCCACGUGUGCGCCUCCUCUCUUUUUGUUUAAGGAUGAUCAGGUCUAUCCGGGAAACAGCUCUGGCAUCCCAAACUGAAAUAAUUAGGACGUAUAUAGACCUGACAAAAAUGGAAAGGGGGUGGGGAAUCUGAGGGUCUGUCUUGCCUAAUUGAUUCCGCUAAACGGAAUGCAGGAGAUGUGAACGGCAGGACGCUCUGAUUCCCACGCUCGGGGGCAAGUGGUAAAGCGGGGCCGGCAGCCUAUGACAGACAGCCCUGUUGGGGGGUGGGGGUAUGAAAAAAACAUCAAGUGCACACACCAUACUCAUCUCCAUCGCUUAAGAAAGUAAAGGCAUUUCCCACCCACAGCCAUCUGCAGCUUCCCAAAUGGCAACACCAACUGGUCUGGAGCGGCUGCAUACUGUCUGCUUCUGUUAAUUUUUUAACCACUGUUUAAUCUGACCAUAAUUAAGUGUGGCUUUCUUCUUUGCUUGAGGUUGUCGAUAUUCAAGGAAAGCUAGUAGAAAGCGAUUCCAAGAAAAGUCCCAUGACCGCCUGCCCCUCGUGUCAGACUUUUAGUCCGUGCCUGUGGCCUUGUGACCACCUUUAGACUUUGUUUUGGGUGGGUUAUAUUUUAAAAUACAUCUCUCUCUCAAUGCAACAGUCUUUAUGAUUUCAUGAGGCUGUUUGCCUCUUAACGUGAUCCAUCUAUGAACUUGGCCUAACUAUGCUAGUAAACACACAUACUAAAAGUAAAAUGAGGAAGUCACUAACCUGUAGAAAGUUGGUUACAAUAACAAUAUGAUAAAAGGUUAUUUUCGAAUAACAGCCAUUUAUAUUCAAUCUAAAAAUAACCAUGCCUAGCAGAAACUUUGGCACUUUGGAGGGAUCCCCACUGUAAUCUUUUCGUAAAAGUCCUUAGGUUUUUUCACGUGUCACCAAGCAAACAUUUGUACAGACAUGUCCCCAUAAACACACCCAUUGCAAUAGGAAAAUGUCCAAAAUGGCCUGUGGUCUUCCACAUGGCCUAGAUUCUGACAGUCCAAAAUACACAGUUUUUCUUUAAAAGUAGUUAAUGUGCCUGUGUGUCUUCAACUCCUUACUAGACUUUGGACUGGAGAAGCCUGUAAAACCACUGUUAGCUUUAGUUGGAAACUCCGAGACUUUUAUUAACGUAAAUUCUCAAUUUGGCUGUUGAACACGUGCCAAAGUUUUACUACUGUAGUGACCGUUGAGAAGACCCUUGUUUAUUUACAUGUGAAGCACUGUUUGUGCAAACAAGCUUUCAUUGUUAAGUGCCUGUAUUCCUUUCAGUUACUUCCUGUCCAGGGGUGCUAUUUACCUAGAACCAUUGUCUACUACAAUUAACAUUUACAUUACAAAGUGUGUGGUUUUCUUUCUCGAGGAGGUUCAAUUAAGGCAAUAAGAUGUUUGCUGGGGAAACCUAUUGUUUACUGAAAGCACUCAAUGGAGUCAAAUUACUGAAGCUUUUGCCUACAUCUUGGUCUUUUAUGUAAAUAUGUUAAAUAUAACAUCUAAGGAAAAUAAACAAUAUUACAAUUAUGUGUUUGCCAUUGUCAUAUCAAACUUGCUUUGUAUCAUACUAAUGUUGCAUAACUUAUCAAUCAAUAAAAAUACAUUUCAAUGUUA